rnacentral:rRNA from 1 species
UGCAAGUCGAACGGUAACGCGGUGAGAAGCUUGCUUCUCACCGGCGACGAGUGGCGAACGGGUGAGUAAUACAUCGGAACGUGUCCGCUCGUGGGGGACAACCAGCCGAAAGGUUGGCUAAUACCGCAUGAGUUCUACGGAAGAAAGAGGGGGACCCGAAAGGGCCUCUCGCGAGCGGAGCGGCCGAUGACUGAUUAGCCGGUUGGUGAGGUAACGGCUCACCAAAGCAACGAUCAGUAGCUGGUCUGAGAGGACGACCAGCCACACUGGGACUGAGACACGGCCCAGACUCCUACGGGAGGCAGCAGUGGGGAAUUUUGGACAAUGGGCGCAAGCCUGAUCCAGCUAUUCCGCGUGUGGGAUGAAGGCCCUCGGGUUGUAAACCACUUUUGUAGAGAACGAAAAGACACCUUCGAAUAAAGGGUGUUGCUGACGGUACUCUAAGAAUAAGCACCGGCUAACUACGUGCCAGCAGCCGCGGUAAUACGUAGGGUGCGAGCGUUAAUCGGAAUUACUGGGC